AUCAAAUUCAUCAUGAAUUACUCCUCUUCGUUGUCUUAAUUUCUUUCGAUUAAAAAAUUUUGAAUCUUCUUCAAAGCUAGGAAUAUACCAUUUUUAUAAAGUACUUAUCACUUGUUUAAAGCGAAAGGUAAGUUUUUAAAAAUUACCGAUUAAAUUAUUAGAUUUCAGCUGUUGGUUACCUGUUAGAUUCAGCUGUAGUAGAAAAUUAGAGGAUUUUUAUAGCUAAUUCAUUAUCAAAGUCGGAUUUGUUUCAAAAUCUGAAUUUGAUUAUCAAAUUCAUAAUGAAGCAAAUUUUUUUUUGCACGGGUUGUAGCCCUUGAACUUAACUUUAAGAUUUCAGUGAUAUAUAAAUAGAAAAAUUUAUGAUUUUCGUGCUUAUCUCAAUUUUAAAUAUCAUCUGAAUAGUUGAUUACUUGAUAAUGAGUUGCGUCGAGUGUAAGAUACAAAAGCUCGGGCAUAAUAUACUAGUACGAUAUAAAUAUGCUUAUAGUCAUAAGAUACACGAACUUGGAUAAGUUAUCAAAAAUGACAGAUCAUCGUAACCCUGAAGGUCAUUCUCAGCCAAUACCCGACAAUUUUCUUAAAUAUUCAAUGAAUUUGACUCAUAGGCUUCCAACUGGUUCCAAAAAGGACAAAAAUAUUCUAAAUUUAUCUUGUAACGGAUGUAUGAUGACAAUGGAUGCCCUGAUUAAAAAAGUGAAUUGAAAAGUAUUGAAAAUGAUGAGAAAUGAAUCCUUUCGAAUACUUUCUAUACCCCAAGGUAUUCAUUUUGACAUAAAAUGAAUACUUUUCAAUCCCAAAAUAAUAAAAGAAUUUCUGAACUUCCGAGGAAUUGAAAAAGAUUCAAAUGAAUUGAUAUUUUUAAUCUUUCUGAAUCCUUCUCAAUACCUAAAUAAUCCGACAUUUCGAAUCAAGUGUGGGAUUGAAAAAGAUUGAAAUGAAUUGAAAUUUUUGAAUCUUUCUGAAUUCUUCUCAAUACCUAAAUAGUCCGAUAUUUCGGAUCAAGUGUGGGAUUGAAAAAGAUUAAAAUGAAUUGAAAUUUUUGAAUCUUUCUGAAUCCUUCUCAAUACCUAAAUAAUUUCACAUUUCGGGUCAUGAGUGGGAUUGAAAAAGAUUGAAAUGAAUUGAAAUUUUUGAAUCUUUCCGAAUCCUUCUCAAUACCUAAAUUGAAAUGAUGAAAGAUUGAAUUCUUUUCAAUACUUUCGAAUUCCACUUUGGAAUUGGAAAGUAUUCAAACGAUCGAAAUUUCAAUUCCAUUCAAUACUUUCCAAAACCGCCGAGGGAUUGAAAAGAAUUGAGAUAAUUUUCAAUACUUUUCAAUUCACUUUUUUAAUCAGGGUGGCGCUGUGUUCAUGUAGUAUGUAGGAAUAUAUAUAUGUAAUGUAAGGAAGUGGGCAUUUGAGUAUUGGCUAUCACCCUGUUAUAAUGUUUAAUAAGGAUACGCCUAGUAUUGUAUUCUGAUGUUUCAUUACAACCUUUGAAUAUCAUCCAAUAUAUAACAGAUCUCUUCCAAAAAUUUUUAUUUGAAUAAAUUCUGCAGAAUACUUGUCAUCUUUACAAAAAAAAGUCUUAGCUAUAAUUAUAUAUUUGAAACAAAUGGUCUAGGGUCGAAAUGACCCCCUGUAAAGGUCAAAUGUUAAUAAUUAUUUUACUUUAUAAUCUCAUGGAAGUUUUAAUUAAAAACACACUGUAAAACAUGUUGAGAGUAAUGCAUUACUUUAAACACUUCGCGUUAUAAGGCGUGCAAUAAUACUCACUAUCAAAUUGCAAUCAACUUAUCAGACAUCUCUUCAACAAUAUAAAAUAAGUUAAUAAAAAAUUAAUGUACUUGGACUCUAAUAUGAUCACUUCAGCAAUGCAUUAAGUAGAUAGCUUAUUAUUAGCAUAAUAUAUAAAAAAAACAUAAUCGAAAUUUUUAAUAAAUUAUAAGGAUAUGGUCAUGCAUACGAAAUAAAAUAUUAACAUCAUUAUUAUACUCGUGAUAUUGAAAAAAGACACUCAGUCGUGUUAAAAAUGUGGAAGCCGAAGAAUCUGUUGGAGGCAUUACUGCCUAUUUAUAUUUUACACAUAAUAUUUUGCCAUGGUGUUAUACAAUAUCCGGCUAUGAGCAAAUCAAAAAUAAAUUAUUCAAUUGUUUUUUCAAUUAUUACAACAUCUGUAAGUUUGAUUGGGUUCAUGUUUUUCUAUUGGAAUUAUUUUGAUGCAUCUUGGAUGUCUAAUGAUAAACUCAUCUCCCUCACUUUUGUAAAUAUCGUGGCUUUUUCAAUGUACGUUAAUAUUGUUUGCGGUUGGAUCUCAAAUAACGUAAGUAGACUUAUAAUAAACAAUUUUAAAAAAGUAUUAAUAAUUUAUUUUUUAUUUAAUCGCUUGAAAAAUAGAAAACUUUGAAGAUUAAUUUGAGGCUUAUAAAAGCUGAUGAAACUCUCAGUAACUUGGGGGUACCAGUAGACGCUCAACGUGAAUUCAAUUUCUGCGUUAAAACUGCAGUUUUUUGGAUUACUUUUUUAGUUUUUAUUAUUUCUUGUAGAGUAGAAAUGUAUAGUGGCAAAUUAGACUUGUUAUCUAAAAUAGUUAUUGUACUUUCUCAUCAACAUGGAUAUCACGUUAAUUUUCUCAUUGAUUUGACAUUUUGUCUGCUUAUAAAUCACAUGAAAAUACGGUUUGAAAAAGUGAACAAAGCGCUUUUGGAUAAUUUGGAAAUCCACAGUUAUGGCAAUGAUCAUAAUAAAGGUAUUUUUACACCGACGAUUGUUCGCCCGUCGAAUUUCGACAGAAAUUACAUUAAAAUCCUUCAUAAACUCAGACGAAUUCAUCUGGAAUUGGGAAUAUUGUGUCGUGAAAUAACAAAAGUUUAUAGUAUUGCAAUGGUUCUUACGAUGGCACAAUCAUUUUUCAUGAUAACAUUAUUACUUUAUACUAUUUAUACAGAUCUAAUAAACUCAAAAGUUGGACCAUUGCAUAAAGUGCUAACGACAAUAGUUAUGUUGAUUUGGUUAACUAUUUCCAGUCUGCAAUUUAUUUGUAUCAAUCAUACUUGCGCUAAAACAAUUACUGAGUGGAAACGAACUGGUGAAAUAAUUUAUAAGUUGGAGACUGAGUGUGAAGAUGAAAAAUUAAAGGAAGAAAUUGAAAAAUUUUCAAUACAGAUGUUGCAAAAUCCUUUAAAAUUUUCACCAUGUGGUUUAUUCGAUCUUGGUUACUAUUUUGUUAGAGAUGUCAGUCUCGAUUUUAUUUUAUAUUUAUAUCAAGUAUAGUAAAUAACGAUAAUAAUAAUUAAUUUCAGUUUGUCGGAUCCGUAACAGCACAAGUUAUCAUAUUGAUUCAAACGUAUCCAAUUCGUAAUGCUGCACAAUAAAUUUUAUUUUGAAUACUUAUAUAUUUUUCAUUAUUGCCAGAGUCGAAUUUGUUGAAAAUUUAAUGUUAAUCUGAAAAAAAUACUACUACGGAGACAUAUUCCUUGGGAUGAGAAUAUAUACUUCCGAUACUCAUAAAAAUUGUAUAUUCUUGUGAAGAAUAAGAUUUUUUCUCGGCUCAAAAAAAUUUUCGUUUCCAAUUCACGAUACAAAAAAAUUUCUUAGGACGAGUAAAAACUUUUUGCGCCAAAAAAUUAUUUUUUUCCAUGGACUUUUUAACGAAUUGUUAAUUCUCUAAACUAAAUAUUUUAUUUUAAUGACAAUAUAAAAAAAAUGAUAAAUUAGUUUAUAAAAAAUUCAUAAAUUUUCUCAGCAUGCCAGAGGAUACUAUACCAUAAUAAUACAAUAUUAAUCCAAUACAAUACAAUAUACCAUACUAUACAAUGCAAUAAUUUAAAAAAUAGAUCUUUAGAUAGUUAGUAGUUUGCGCAUGAAAUGUAUAAAAAGCAACUAAGUUUAUAAUAAAUUAAAUGGAUAUGAUCAUGCAUGUCUAUUUAAAUAUUAAAAACUACGCGGAUUAUAUUCCGUAUUAAUACUUAUGAUAUUUCAAAAUCCUCUCAGUCGUGUUGGAAAUGUGGAAGCCGAAGAAUAUGAUCGAGGCAUUGCUGCCUAUUUAUAUUUUUGAUUUAAUAUUUUGCCAUGGAGUCGUUAAAUUUCCAAAUGUUAGUAAAUCAAAAUUUAAUAACUCAUUUGUGUUUGCAGUAACCACAACAAUUAUCUUCUUUAUUUGUUUUAUUGUUUCACUUUUAAAUCAUUAUAAUUCAACCUGGGUAAAUAGGCACCGCAUUGUAUACCUAAUUAUUACGGUGAUAAUGACUUUAUCAAUGACGGUGAACAUUAUUCACAGCUGGAUUUACAGAAAUGACGCCGUUAUUAUUAAUUCGAGAAUAAUAAAAGUCGACGAAGAUCUCGAAAAAUUGGGAAUCCCCGUAGACGCUCAAGUUGAAUUUAUUUUUUCAAUAAAAAUAGCCAUUUUAUGGAUAGCUUAUUCACUUUUUUUAAAUGUGAUAAAAAUUGUAUGGUACCCAGACACUCUUGAUUUAUUGUCUGUGACUUUUGUAGUAUUUACUAUUCAACAUGGAUAUCACGUUAAUUUUUUAAUUGAUUUGACAUUUUGUUUGGUAACAAAACAUAUGAAAAAACGUUUUGAAAACUUGAACAAACUGUUGCUGGAGAUUUUUAAUUUACAAACUAAUAAUUUGAGACAAGAAGUAGAGACAGAGUACAAAUGGGCUAUUUCCCGCCAAACGCAUCUUGAAAAAGACUUCACUGAAAUUAUUCAUAAGAUCAAACGGAUCCACCUGGAAUUGGGGAUAUUGUGUCAGGAAUUGAUAAAAAUUUACGGAAUACCAAUAAUUCUCGCAAUGAUAGUGGCAUUUGUUACCAUUACAAGUCAGCUUUUUUAUAUAUACGUAGAAAUAGGGGACCAAAAAACUAAAACUUAUGAUAAAAUAUUAUUCAUAGGCAGUAUAAUAAUUUGGUUUAUAAUUGCAAGCUUGAAAUUUUUCAGUGUCAAUUAUGUUUGCGCUGAAACUGUUAAUGAGUGGGAACAAACUGGGGAAAUAAUUCAUAAGCUCGACUUAGAGUCUAAAGAUAUAAAUUUCCAAAGAGAAAUAAAGCAGUUUUCGAUGCAAAUGUUGCAAAAUCCAUUGAAAUUCACUCCAUGUGGAUUAUUAGAUCUUGGUUUUUAUUUCGUCAGAGAUUUUGUCGGAUCUGUAACAACACAACUCAUCAUAUUGAUUCAAACCUAUCCAAUGCACAAUAAUACACCAUAAAAAAAAGAUUUUUAAAGUUUAAUUGCUUUGUAAAAGUUUUAAAUGUCAUCACGAUAGUAAAUAAAUUAAUUGUUAGUGUACCUAAUAAGGGGGCCACUAGUGUGACCGCCUGAAAAUAAGUUUUUCGGGAAUUGUUUUCAAAGAAAACUACAGCAUAAAAUGUUUUAAUGUUUAAAGGAUAUAUUUGUGGAUAUAAAAUGAAUACAUGAUAAAAUUUUUGGACCAAAAAAUUCAAAAUUCAGCGAAUUAUAAAAAAUUUAAAAUGAUCGAGGGUCAAAAAGACCCCGUGUGUCAUUCAAAGGGUCAUUUAAAUGUUAGUAAUUUUUUUUAUUUAUGAUCUCAUGAAAAGUUUGAAUGUAAAACGCACAAUGUAAAAAAAUACUCACUAUCAAUAUGCAAUCAACUUAUCGGAAAUCUUGUCAACAAUAGAAAUAAGUUAAUAAAAAAUGUAUGUACUUGGGCUAUAAUAUGAUCACUUAAGCAAUGCAUUAACCAGAUAGCUCAUUAUUUGCAUAGAAUAUAUAAAAACACAAUCUACAUUUUUAAUAAAUUAUAAGGAUGUGUUCAUGCAUACGAAAUUAAAUAUUAACAUCAUUGUUGUACUCAUGAUAUUGAAAAAAAACACUCAGUCGUGUUAAAAAUGUGGAAGCCGAAGAAUCUGUUGGAGGCAUUGCUGCCUAUUUAUAUUUUACACAUAAUAUUUUGUCAUGGUGUUAUACAAUAUCCGGCUAUUAGCAAAUCAAAAAUAAAUUACUCAAUUGUUUUUUCAAUUAUUACAACAUCUGUAAGUUUUAUUUGCUUCAUUAUCGUCAGUUGGAAUUAUUUUGAAGCAUCUUGGAUAUCUAAUGAUAAACUUAUCUUCUUCAUUGAUACAAAUUUCGUGGCUUUUUCAAUGUACGUUAAUAUUGUUUGCGGUUGGUUCUCAAAUAACAAAACUUUGAAGAUUAAUUUGAGGCUUAUAAAAGCUGACGAAACUCUUAGUAACUUGGGGGUACCAGUAGAUGCUCAACGCGCAUUAAUUUUAUCAGUUAAAGCUGCCGUAUUUUGGAUUAUUUUUUCAAUUUUUAUUAC